rnacentral:rRNA from 1 species
AUUGAGCGCUGGCGGCAGGCCUAACACAUGCAAGUCGAACGGUAACAGGAAACAGCUUGCUGUUUGGCUGACGAGUGGCGGACGGGUGAGUAAUGUCUGGGAAACUGCCUGAUGGAGGGGGAUAACUACUGGAAACGGUAGCUAAUACCGCAUAACGUCGCAAGACCAAAGAGGGGGACCUUCGGGCCUCUUGCCAUCGGAUGUGCCCAGAUGGGAUUAGCUAGUAGGUGGGGUAACGGCUCACCUAGGCGACGAUCCCUAGCUGGUCUGAGAGGAUGACCAGCCACACUGGAACUGAGACACGGUCCAGACUCCUACGGGAGGCAGCAGUGGGGAAUAUUGCACAAUGGGCGCAAGCCUGAUGCAGCCAUGCCGCGUGUAUGAAGAAGGCCUUCGGGUUGUAAAGUACUUUCAGCGGGGAGGAAGGGAGUAAAGUUAAUACCUUUACUCAUUGACGUUACCCGCAGAAGAAGCACCGGCUAACUCCGUG